UUCCUAAACCGCACGUUUCUAUGCGAUAGUUAGCCGAUGGUUUUCAAAUGCAACUCUGAAUAAUUGUCAUUCACAAUGGAAAAAUGGUAUUCACUGCGAAAACGUAAACAAUGAUUGUGACAAAAUUAACAAAAAACAAAAACAACAACAGAACAGCUCGGAAGGACAGCAGACCAAAUUUUCGAAAAACUUAUUAAUAAAAUGGAUUUAGUGCCAGAAAACUCCUCCAGUGCAAACAAGAGAACAACAGCAGGCGGCAGGGUGAAAUGGAGUGCCGCGCUUGAGUGCCUGCUGAUUGACAUAUGUAUGGCAGGAGAAAAUUGAAGAUUUGCGCGGACCACGCAAAAAUUCACAUGUGUACAUGGAGAUUGCCGAGUCCAUGAAGGAGGCUGGGCUUGAGCUUGGAUGGGGCGAGAUAAGGACAAAGCUCGAGAACAUGACCAAAAAAUACAGGAUUGAAAAAAAUAAAAUUGGACCGAGCGGGGGUGCUCCAUCUGUGUGGCAACAUUACGAUAAAUGAAACUCAUUUCUGGGGUGCUACCGGAUAAACAACAUGGAGCAGAGCACAUUGGACAACUACAAUCCUAAUAAGUACUUUUCGGAUAUUAUUGAGAUGGACCUGGACGGAUCUUGUUGCUCCAGCACC
rnacentral:sRNA from 1 species